CCCUAGCCCAGAUAGGAACGAUAUCCUUUUUGAGAGCCUUUUCGGCGAUACAAAAAGAUAUAGUGGAUAGCUGGAAUAGCU
rnacentral:sRNA from 1 species